CGUUGAAUACGUUCCCGGGUCUUGUACACACCGCCCGUCACGUCACGGAAGUCGCCAACGCCCGAAGUGCCUGCUUUGCUAGGCCCUAAGGCGGGGGUGGUAACUGGGAUG
rnacentral:rRNA from 1 species